rnacentral:misc_RNA from 1 species
GAAAUUUAUUGGUAUCCUUCUUUCAGAGAUUUUCUUGUUUCAUGGAUUCUGUUACCCUCAUCCACAGAAAGCUUCACAAUUACAUUACACAUUUGUUCGCGAUGCAACUUCAGCACCAGUAGUCCUGUACUAUGACUACAUUAUCAUCGGUGGAGGAACUUCAGGGUGUCCGUUAGCUGCAACUCUAUCUAAGAAUGCAACUGUUCUAGUACUUGAAAGAGGAGGCUCCCCCUAUGGCAAUUCUAACAUAACCAACAUUGGAAACUUCGUUGCCUCUCUUUCUGAUACGUCUCCCAAUUCCCCUUCCCAACUCUUCAUCUCCGAGGAUGGAGUAUACAACACUCGUGCACGUGUUCUUGGGGGCGGAAGCUCACUGAACGCCGGAUUUUACACUCACGCUGGUUCUGAUUUUGUGAAGGAAGCUAGAUUGAGUGAAAAGUUGGCUAAUGCGUCUUAUAAAUGGGUUGAGAAGAAGAUUGCAUUCGAGCCAACAAUGUUACAAUGGCAAUCAGCAGUGAGGGAUGGGUUGAUACAAGCAGGGGUGUCUCCUUACAAUGGGUUUACCUAUGAUCAUUUUUCUGGAACUAAAAUUGGAGGCACAAUCUUUGAUAGGGAUGGUCACAGGCACACUGCUGCCGAUCUACUGGAGUACGCUGUCCCAAGAAAUAUUCUUGUUUAUUUACAUGCUACUGCACUCAAGAUCUUGUUUACAGGAAGAGAACAUUGUGAAUACAGGGAGACCAUGGCCAAGACCAAGAGCUUAUGGGGUGACAUUUGAAGAUAAGUUGGGCAUAAGGCACACGGCGCUCUUGAAUAGGAACUGGUGGAGUGAGAUUAUCUUGUCAGCUGGUGCAAUAGGAAGCCCACAACUACUAAUGCUCAGCGGCAUUGGACCUGCUUAUCAUCUUCGAGCCCAUGGAAUUCCUGUCGUGUUCGACCAGCCCAUGGUGGGUCAAGGGAUGGCGGAUAACCCAAUGAAUCUUCUGUUUGUUCCCUCCCCUAUUCCCGUUGAGAUCUCACUGAUUCAAGUUGUGGGGAUCACUCAAUUUGGUAGCUUCAUCGAGACAGCAAGUGGUUUGACCUUCGGUUACUCUUGGGCUCAAGGAUUUAUUAGGGACUAUGAACUGUCCUUAAACAAGACAGGCCAGCAGUCCAUAUUGACCCCAGAAGCCAUGGCAAGGGCUGUUGAAACCGUGAAUUCCCUUGUGAAUGCAACACUAAAGGGUGGAGUUAUUCUAGAGAAGGUCAUGGGUCCACGCUCCACAGGCGAUCUGAAGCUCAAGACCACAAAUCCAUACGAUAACCCAACAGUGAAAUUCAACUACUUCAAAGAUCCAUUGGACUUGAAGAAGUGUGUCAAAGGAAUGAAAACCAUUAUCGACGUAAUAAACUCAAAAGCAUUUUCAAAAUUUCGUUACAGACACAUACCGGUGCAAACUCUGAUCAGCUUGAUGGCAAAUCUGCCAGUGAACUUGAGACCAAGACAUGUUACUACAGCAAUUUCCUUGGAACAAUUUUGCAUAGACACUGUCAUGACCAUAUGGCAUUAUCACGGAGGUUGCCAAAUUGGCAAGGUUAUUGAUCGUAAAUAUAGGGUUCGGGGUGUUAAUGGACUAAGGGUUAUUGAUGGCUCUACUUUUCUUCGCUCACCUGGGACUAAUCCUCAAGCUACUGUUAUGAUGCUUGGAAGAUACAUGGGGAGGAGGAUGAUGCGUGAGAGAAUUUCUAAGAUGAGGACAACGAUAAAUUAUUGACAGUCAAAGUGAUGUACUCUGGAUGUUACGUUGUAUAGUAUCAAAAUACAAGUGAAUUUCAUCGCUUCGACUGUUGGGUUAUUGAUUAUUAAUUUUUUUUUUCUCUUCUUUGUCAGAGAAAUCUUUCAAAAUUAAGUUAUGACAGAGUGAAUUCAAG